GGAUUAUCUCGCUGACUAAGGGAGGCUUUGGACGUUGAGCAAGCAGCCCAAGGUCACACAGCAGGUGGUGGAGGCAAAGGCCGCCCCAAUCGCCUCCCUUUGGACUCUCCGGCCUUCUCCAGGUGCUGGAUGCGGUCAGCUCACUCGGACUGGAACCAAAUCCUUGCCGCUCGGCAGUCCCAGCCCUCGAGGAAUCUGCCUCUCCAGCGAAGCCGUCCUCCUGGGCUCCAGGAAAUCCCCCGGGUCUUUCCCCGUGGGGCCCCGGGCAUAGCGGCCCCUGCAGAGGGCUCUGUUCGCUCUUCCAGGCGUGGGGGCUGACCCGGGAUCUGUUCUCCGUAGCCCUCGCUAACUCAGCUAACUCAAGUCACCAGGGCUGAGUGGGGGCUGGGCCGCCGGGCAGUCGGAUGACCUGCUAGGCUGCGAGUCUCCGCCCCCGCCGAGCCGCGGGCAGAGGUCCGGGCCCGUGUCCGCGCUGCAGCCGAGCGGCAGCCGAGAGGAGCUCAGCAUGACGGCCAUCUCCGUGCAGGCCCAGAGGCUGUUGGGCCAGAGGAGGCCCCGCCGGUCCUUCUUUGAGUCCUUCAUCCGGACCCUCAUCAUCGUGUGCAGCGCCCUGGCCGUGGUCCUCUCUUCCGUCUCCAUCUGUGACGGGUACUGGCUCCUGGCUGAGGACCGCCUCUUUGGGCUGUGGCACUUCUGUUCCAUCGCCAACCAGAGCAGGCCACGCUGCUUCCGAGACCUGAACCAGGCCCACGUCCCUGGGCUGCCUGUGGGUAUGGGCCUGGCCCGCAGCGUGGGUGCCAUGGCUGUGGUGACUGCCAUCUUCGGCCUGGAGCUCCUCAUGGUGUCCCAGGUGUGCGAGAACAUCUACUCUCGGCGUAAGUGGGCCAUCGGCUCUGGCCUCCUCCUGGCCUCCUUCUUCUUGUCCUCCGCGGGACUCCUGGGUUUUGUGAUCCUCCUCAGGAAAGAAGUCACACUCAUCAGCUUCACUCUGAUGUUCUGGUGUGAAUUUACUGCCUCGUUCCUCUUCUUCCUGAAUGCUGUCAGUGGCCUUCAUAUCAACAGCAUUACCCAGCCCUGGAGCCAACUAAGGGAGUUCUAGGGCCUUCUCUGGAAACCUCUGUUCCUACAAGAAAAUAUGAUCAAGACGAGGCUUUUCCAACAUGUGACCUCUGAGGAGAACGGGGUGGUACCCUGACCUUGAAGCUGCUGCCUUCAUAGCCAGGACAGGGACUGCAGAAAUUCAAGAGGACCAGAGUGAUGGCUGAGACCAAAGUCCUCCAGAGCUCAGUGGGGCAAGGAGACAAGCUCUGGGCCAUUCCUGCAUGGGAGUGGGAACAUCCCAAACACAGCCUUGGAGCUCACGCAUUUGAAGGAAGAGGACUAGACGAAUGGCCACCUCCUUGCUGAGUAGCCCAGGCAAGCCGUGGCGCCUUGUGGGUCUGUUCCAAUCUGUAACGUGUGAUCAGCUGCCCUUUCUGCUGUGCCACCUCUGCCUGGCCGACCACAUGUGCCUUCUACACUGUCAAGGACAUUAAACAGACUGGGGGGCCUGGGUCUCCCCUUCAACUUCAUCCGAUU